AACGAACGCUGGCGGCAUGCCUAACACAUGCAAGUCGAACGAGACCUUCGGGUCUAGUGGCGCACGGGUGCGUAACGCGUGGGAACCUGCCCUUAGGUUCGGAAUAACUCCCCGAAAGGGGUGCUAAUACCGGAUAAUGUCUUCGGACCAAAGAUUUAUCGCCUUUGGAUGGGCCCGCGUUGGAUUAGCCGGUUGGUAGGGUAAAAGCCUACCAAGGCGACGAUCCAUAGCUGGUCUGAGAGGAUGAUCAGCCACACUGGGACUGAGACACGGCCCAGACUCCUACGGGAGGCAGCAGUGGGGAAUAUUGGACAAUGGGCGAAGGCCUGAUCCAGCAAUGCCGCGUGAGUGAUGAAGGCCUUAGGGUUGUAAAGCUCUUUUACCCGGGAUGAUAAUGACAGUACCGGGAGAAUAAGCUCCGGCUAACUCCGUG
rnacentral:rRNA from 1 species